GAUCAUGGCUCAGGAUGAACGCUAGCUACAGGCUUAACACAUGCAAGUCGAGGGGCGAGCAUGGUCUUAGCUUGCUAAGGCUGAUGGCGACCGGCGCACGGGUGAGUAACACGUAUCCAACCUGCCGUCUACUCUUGGCCAGCCUUCUGAAAGGAAGAUUAAAUCCAGGAUGGGAUCAUGAGUUCACAUGUCCGCAUGAUUAAAGGUAUUUUCCGGUAGACGAUGGGGGA
rnacentral:rRNA from 1 species